UACGUGUGUGUGUGUGUGUGUGUGUGUGUGUGUGCACGUGCACGCGCACGCGCAUGCAUACAUGCACACG
rnacentral:miRNA from 1 species